UACGAAGGGGGGCUAGCGUUGUUCGGAAUUACUGGGCGUAAAGCGCGCGCAGGCGGUUUCUCAAGUCAGUGGUGAAAGCCCGGAGCUCAACUCCGGAACUGCCAUUGAAACUGUGAGACUUGAGGACGAGAGAGGUGAGUGGAAUUCCCAGUGUAGAGGUGAAAUUCGUAGAUAUUCGCAAGAACACCAGUGGCGAAGGCGGCUCACUGGCCCGGUACUGACGCUGAGGCACGAAAGCGUGGGGAGCAAACAGGG
rnacentral:rRNA from 1 species